GCGGCCUCCCCGCGCGCCGCGCUCUCCGCCUCCGCCCGCCAAGCCCCGCGGAAGAGAAAUAAGGACGGCCGCCUCUCCGGCCCUCACCCCCGGCAGCCAGGGGUCCUGAUGAUUGCCACAGAUGGGAACCCUAGAUUGUGGAUAUAAGAACAGAGGAGGGAAGGCAUUAUCCUGGUGUGUGCCCAUCAGUAAAGUUUUGUGGAGGCCAAGAUACUCUCCACAUGAUCCACAGGAGGUACAACCCAAUGCAUCUAGUGUGCAGCCAUAGGAGGACACUGUGGCAUAUGACCCUGAAGAUAAAAAUAUCAA